rnacentral:rRNA from 1 species
UUGACCUCGGAUCAGGUAGGGAUACCCGCUGAACUUAAGCAUAUCAAUAAGCGGAGGAAAAGAAACCAACAGGGAUUGCCUCAGUAACGGCGAGUGAAGCGGCAAUAGCUCAAAUUUGAAAUCUGGCACCCGCCCGAAUUGUAAUUUGUAGAGGAUGCUUCGGCUUACGUCUCGGUCUAAGUUCCUUGGAACAGGACGUCACAGAGGGUGAGAAUCCCGUUUGUGGCCGUGACUUCCGCCAUGUGAAGCUCCUUCGACGAGUCGAGUUGUUUGGGAAUGCAGCUCUAAAUGGGAGGUAUGUUUCUUCUAAAGCUAAAUACCGGCCAGAGACCGAUAGCGCACAAGUAGAGUGAUCGAAAGAUGAAAAGCACUUUGGAAAGAGAGUCAAACAGUACGUGAAAUUGUUGAAAGGGAAGCGCUUGCAACCAGACUUGCUCGUAGUUGCUCAACCGGUCCUCCGGCCGGUGCACUCUUCUACGGUCAGGCCAGCAU